rnacentral:tRNA from 1 species
GGCAGAGUGCCCGAGUGGUUAAGGGGUUGCACUCGAAAGAACGGUGGGUCCAACCCAUCAGAAUCUCAUAUGCAAUACGUUCGCGUGCGCAGGUUCGAAUCCUGUCUCUGUCG